rnacentral:rRNA from 1 species
UACGUAGGGUGCGAGCGUUGUCCGGAAUUAUUGGGCGUAAAGGGCUCGUAGGCGGUCUGUCGCGUCGAAAGUGAAAACUCAGGGCUUAACCCUGAGCCUGCUUCCGAUACGGGCAGACUAGAGGUAUGCAGGGGAGAACGGAAUUCCUGGUGUAGCGGUGAAAUGCGCAGAUAUCAGGAGGAACACCGGUGGCGAAGGCGGUUCUCUGGGCAUUACCUGACGCUGAGGGGCGAAAGUGUGGGGAGCGAACAGG